rnacentral:rRNA from 1 species
CCUACGGGUGGCAGCAGUGAGGAAUAUUGGUCAAUGGGGGAAACCCUGAAGCAGCAACGCCGCGUGGAGGAUGAAGGUUUUCGGAUUGUAAACUCCUUUUGUUAGAGAAGAUAAUGACGGUAUCUAACGAAUAAGCACCGGCUAACUCCGUGCCAGCAGCCGCGGUAAUACGGAGGGUGCCAGCGUUACUCGGAAUCACUGGGCGUAAAGGGCGCGUAGGCGGGAUAGCAAGUCAGAUGUGAAAUCCUAUGGCUUAACCAUAGAACUGCAUUUGAAACUGUUAGUCUAGAGUACGGGAGAGGUAGGUGGAAUUCUUGGUGUAGGGGUAAAAUCCGUAGAGAUCAAGAGGAAUACUCAUUGCGAAGGCGACCUGCUAGAACAUAACUGACGCUGAUGCGCGAAAGCGUGGGGAGCAAACAGGAUUAGAUACCCUUGUAGUC